rnacentral:rRNA from 1 species
UGGGGAAUAUUGCGCAAUGGGGGAAACCCUGACGCAGCGACGCCGCGUGCGGGAUGAAGGCCUUCGGGUUGUAAACCGCUUUUGAUUGGGAGCAAGCUUUCGGGUGAGUGUACCUUUCGAAUAAGCGCCGGCUAACUACGUGCCAGCAGCCGCGGUAAUACGUAGGGCGCAAGCGUUAUCCGGAAUUAUUGGGCGUAAAGAGCUUGUAGGCGGUUCGUCGCGUCUGGUGUGAAAGCCCAUCGCUUAACGGUGGGUUUGCGACGGGUACGGGCGGGCUAGAGUGCAGUAGGGGGGACUGGAAUUCUCGGUGUAACGGUGGAAUGUGUAGAUAUCGGGAAGAACACCAAUGGCGAAGGCAGGUCUCUGGGCUGUUACUGACGCUGAGAAGCGAAAGCGUGGGGAGCGAACAGG